UUGCUCACUUCGGCAGCACAUAUACUAAAAUUGAAACGAUACAGAGAAGGUUAGCAUGGCCCCUGUGCAAGGAUGACAUGCAAAUUCGUGAAGCAUUCCAUAUUUUU
ensembl:snRNA U6 U6 spliceosomal RNA